UGACUCAUCACAUCCUACGGUUGAAGAAGUGUUCGGUUGGUCACCAAUUCAAGUGGUACAUGAGUUGAGUUUGGAAUAUUGUGAAAUAAUUC
rnacentral:rRNA from 1 species